rnacentral:rRNA from 1 species
GACGAACGCUGGCGGCGUGCCUAAUACAUGCAAGUUGAGCGCUGAAGGUUGGUACUUGUACCGACUGGAUGAGCAGCGAACGGGUGAGUAACGCGUGGGGAAUCUGCCUUUGAGCGGGGGACAACAUUUGGAAACGAAUGCUAAUACCGCAUAAAAACUUUAAACACAAGUUUUAAGUUUGAAAGAUGCAAUUGCAUCACUCAAAGAUGAUCCCGCGUUGUAUUAGCUAGUUGGUGGGGUAAAGGCUCACCAAGGCGAUGAUACAUAGCCGACCUGAGAGGGUGGUCGGCCACAUUGGGACUGGGACACGGCCCAAACUCCUACGGGAGGCAGCAGUAGGGAAUCUUCGGCAAUGGACGAAAGUCUGACCGAGCAACGCCGCGUGAGUGAAGAAGGUUUUCGGAUCGUAAAACUCUGUUGGUAGAGAAGAACGUUGGUGAGAGUGGAAAGCUCAUCAAGUGACGGUAACUACCCAGAAAGGGACGGCUAACUACGUG